CGCGCCGCUCGGCGAGCCGGGCGCGCUCCCCGGCGUUGAACGCCGGCCCCGGAGCGGCCAGCCCGUCGGUCAGGUUCGACUUCCGCCACCGCACC
rnacentral:tRNA from 1 species